rnacentral:rRNA from 1 species
AUGAAGAUAUAUACAGUUUGACCUGCCCACUGAAUUUAUUUAAGGGCCGCGGUAUUCCUAACCGUGCUAAGGUAGCAUAAUCAUUAGUCUCUUAAUUGGAGGCUUGUAUGAAAGGUUGGACGAGAAAUAUACUGUUUCAAAUAAAAAAUUUGAAUUUAACUUUUAAGUGAAAAGGCUUAAAUAAGUUAAAAAGACGAUAAGACCCUAUAAAUCUUAACGAUAAAAUUUACAUUUUUUGAUUUAUUAGUUUAAAAAAAUAUUUUGAUUGAACGUUUGGUUGGGGCGACAUAAAUAUAAGAUAAUUAACUAUUUAUAAUAUUAAACAACUAUUGUUGAUGAUAAAUGAUCCUAUUAUAAAGAUUAAAAGACUAAGUUACUUUAGGGAUAACAGCGUUAUUUUUUUUGAGAGUUCUUAUUAAAAAAAAAGUUUGCGACCUCGAUGUUGAAUUAAAAAAUCUUUACGGUGCAGCAGCUGUAAAAGAGAGUCUGUUCGACUUUUAAAUUUUUACAUGAUUU